rnacentral:rRNA from 1 species
UUCCAGACUCCUACGGGAGGCAGCCGUGGGGAAUAUUGCACAAUGGGCGCACGCCUGAUGCAGCCCUUCCUCGUGUAUGCAGCAGGCCUUCGGGUUGUCCAGUACUUUCAUCUUGGAGGAAGGUGUUGAGGUUAAUCCCUUCAGCAAUUUCCGUUCCCCGCAGCCGCCUCACCGGCUCCCUCCGUGCCAGCCGCCGCGGUAAUACUGAGUUUGCAAGCGUUCAUCGGAAGUACUGGGCGUAAAGCGCACGCAGGCGGGCUGGCAAGUCGGAGGGGAAAUCCCCGGGCGAAACCUGGGAACUGCAUUCGAAACUGGCAGGCUGGAGUCUUGUAGAGGGGGGUAGAAUUCCAGGUGUAGCGGUGAAAUGCGUAGAGAGCGGGAGGAAUACCGGUGGCGAAGGCGGCCCCCUGGACAAAGACUGACGCUCAGGUGCGAAAGCGUGGGGAGCAAACAGGAUUAGAUACCCCCGUAAU